CACGGUGGUAAUGGCGGAAGGGAAACACCCGGUCACAUUCCGAACCCGGAAGUUAAGCCUUCCAGCGCCGAUGGUACUGCACCUUGGCGGGUGUGGGAGAGUAGGUCGCUGCCGGAC
rnacentral:rRNA from 1 species